rnacentral:rRNA from 1 species
AUACGAAGGGGGCUAGCGUUGUUCGGAAUCACUGGGCGUAAAGCGCGCGUAGGUGGAUCAAUUAGUUGAGGGUGAAAUCCCGGGGCUCAACCUCGGAACUGCCUUCAAUACUGUUGAUCUUGAGACCGAGAGAGGUGAGUGGAAUUCCUAGUGUAGAGGUGAAAUUCGUAGAUAUUAGGAAGAACUCCAGUGGCGAAGGCGGCUCACUGGCUCGGUACUGACGCUGAGGUGCGAAAGCGUGGGGAGCAAACAGGAUUAGAAACCCUAGUAGUCC